rnacentral:lncRNA from 1 species
AACAGUCGCUCGGUUUGAGCUCAAAUAAAUGCAGGGAUGCCUCGGCUGGGAGCAGUCCGCCGCCUCCCUCCGAGCGCAGGACGCUCCGACGCCCGCUUGCCCGCAGGCCACCGCAGACUGGGAAUUACACAGCAAGAUGGCUUUCCCUACUCCAUCGUGGCUAGAGCCUCUGCAAGGGCUGAAGCCCUUUGAUCUUGGCUUCAUUUGGAUACAUUUCAAGGGUGAGCACUGACAAAGAGGACAAGCCAGACUGAAGUCAUAUGGCCUUACAGCUCUGCCUUCAAAGGCAUGUGGGCUCCCCUCCACCACAUUGCUGACCCCUCAUUACAGGAAGUGGGAGUGUAAACUCUACCUCUUCCUUAUGUCCUGUCGGAGGUGGAGCACAGAGCUCUGACUCCAUGCAUAACACACACUCUACCACUGAGAUACAUCCCAAGGCAAUUGACAUUGGAUUGUUGGUGUCUCAUUGUGUGAUGUUGACUUAGGACAUUAUAGGAUCUAUGCAAGCA